CCGAGGGAAAGCCAGGAUAAGAGAGGGGGACGAGGCUCGGGCUUUGGGGUCAGCCAGAUUUGGGCUCCAGUCUGACUUGCCCUGAGCAAGUUACCCUCUCUCAGUCCCCGGGUUCCUCCUCCUCUGUAAAUGCAACUUAAUAAAAGCACAUCGAGCUCCUUGCAAGUUAUGAAUGGGCUGCGAAAGGUUCAGCACAGGGCCCGGCGGGGCCUCCAGAAGCCACAGGCGCUGUUACUAAUCAUCAUCCUGUCCCUUCCGAGGGCCGUAAAGAUCACAGAAAGGAACAGCGCUGGCGAGAGGCCCUUGGAUCCAACGCCUGGAUGGGCGCUCAGGCUGGCCUCAAGCUCUUAGCCAUCUGGGAAAGAAGGAAGAGGAAGACGAACCUGGGACUGCUCAGAGGAAGCCCUGAUCUCUGAAGGUCCUCCCGAUGCUGACCAGAAACUGACCUGACUGGAAACUGACCAGAAACGUCUGCCAGGACUCAGUUCCCCACACAGAGCAGUGGGGCACGGAAUGACCACCCACAGGGUGGCUGCCCUAGGUGCCCGGUCUGACGGGAGGGCCUGCCCAUGACAAGUGUUCAAUAAAUGUUCGCAUGGCCCUAGACUCCCUGCUCUUCUGCCUGCCACCCCU